rnacentral:rRNA from 1 species
CGUAGGGAGCAAGCGUUGUCCGGAAUCAUUGGGCGUAAAGCGCGCGUAGGCGGCCCUGUAAGUCCGUUGUGAAAGUCAAAGGCUCAACCUUUGAAAGCCGAUGGAUACUGCAGGGCUAGAGUUCGGAAGAGGCGAGUGGAAUUCCUGGUGUAGCGGUGGAAUGCGCAGAUAUCAGGAGGAACACCAAUAGCGAAGGCAGCUCGCUGGGACGAUACUGAACGCUAAAGGCGCGAAAGCGUGGGAGCGAACAGGAUU